UACAGAGGGUGCGAGCGUUAAUCGGAAUUACUGGGCGUAAAGCGCACGUAGGCGGCUUGGUAUGUCGGGUGUGAAAUCCCCGGGCUCAACCUGGGAACUGCAUCCGAAACUGCCUUGCUCGAGUAUGGGAGAGGGAAGUGGAAUUUCCGGUGUAGCGGUGAAAUGCGUAGAUAUCGGAAGGAACAUCAGUGGCGAAGGCGACUUCCUGGACCAACACUGACGCUGAGGAGCGAAAGCCAGGGGAGCAAGCGGG
rnacentral:rRNA from 1 species